GUGGGCUGGGGAAGGGCUGCUGGGUGGUGGGGCCAGCAGGCCCAGCCUCGUCCCAGCCAGUCUGACCCGUGCCCGAGAUCAGCUCCCAGGUGGGCUCCGUGCUGGGGCUCACCUGUGCAGUAACAGGUGUGAGCAUUCAUGAAGCAUUUUGAUGGUCAUGUAUGAUACUGCAUACAACA
ensembl:scaRNA small Cajal body-specific RNA 16